rnacentral:tRNA from 1 species
GCGCCCAUAGCUCAGCUGGAUAGAGUACCGCCCUCCGAAGGCGGUGGUCGUAGGUUCGAAUCCUACUGGGCGCGCCA